GACGAACGCUGGCGGCGUGCCUAACACAUGCAAGUUGAGCGACGAACCAGGGCUUGCCCUGGGGCAAAGCAGCGAACGGGUGAGUAACACGUGGGUAACCUACCCCGAUAACCGGGACAACCCGAGGAAACUCGGGCUAAUACCGGAUGUGCUCACUGGACUUCGGUUCAGUGCGUAAAGGAAGCUUCGGCCUCCGUAUCGGGAGGGGCCCGCGGCCCAUUAGUUUGUUGGUGAGGUAACGGCUCACCAAGACCGCGAUGGGUAGCUGGUCUGAGAGGACGAUAAGCCACACUGGGACUGAGACACGGCCCAGACUCCUACGGGAGGCAGCAGUGGGGAAGCUUGCGCAAUGCGCGAAAGCGUGACGCAGCAACGCCGCGUGGGGGAAGAAGGCCUUCGGGUUGUAAACCCCUUUCAGGAGGGACGAAGGUUCGGCAGUUAACAGCUGUCCGGACUGACGGUACCUCCACAAGAAGCCCCGGCUAACUACGUGCCAGCAGCCGCGGUAA
rnacentral:rRNA from 1 species